rnacentral:lncRNA from 1 species
CUCUUCCUCAAGAGAUCUUAAAAGAUGGGAAGUUGACAGAAGAAUGUUAUGCGCAACUUCACAAUGCAGCAAAUAAACCAUGUGCAGUUCAUGAUGGUUUAGAAGCCACCAAGAUCACUUUCCUGUCAAAAUCCGACCAAAAACACACCUUCCAACCUGUCGGAAAACUUAAAUUCUCAUCAGCUGUGUGCACUUCUAAAUUCUUCUGGCCUUAUUUUAAGUAUCCUCCUCUACCAACACUGCCACCUUUGCCCAAAACGCACCCAUGGUUUGGCCACCAUUUUCCUCUUCCUCAAUUUCCACCAAAGGUUUAUCCAUCAUUCCCAUUUCCACCAAACACACCAUCACCUACUCCUGUUUAUGACCCACCAGUUGUUGAGACUCCCCCUGUUCCAGUAUACAAUCCUCCUCCGGUUGUUGAGACUCCCCCUGUUCCAGUAUACAAUCCUCCUCCGGUUGUUGAGACUCCCCCUGUUCCAGUAUACAAUCCUCCUCCGGUUGUUGAGACUCCCCCUGUUCCAGUAUACAAUCCUCCUCCGGUUGUUGAACCACCACCAGUUUACAAUCCUCCUCCGGUUUACAAUCCUCCUCCUGUUUACACACCAACACCAAAGCCAGAACCACCAGUAGUCAAGCCUCCUUGUGACCCAAAACCAAAGCCACAGCCACCUGUCUACAAACCUGCUCCCAUUCCGGUUUAUAAGCCAAAGCCAAAGCCGCCAGUCUACAAGCCUGCUCCCGUCCCAGUUUACAAGCCAAAGCCAAAUCCAGAGCCUCCAGUCUACAAGCCUGCUCCCAUUCCGGUUUAUAAGCCAAAGCCAAAGCCACCAGUCUACAAGCCUUCUCCCAUCCCAGUUUACAAACCAAAGCCAAAUCCAGAGCCUCCGGUUUACAAGCCUGCUCCCAUUCCAGUUUAUAAGCCAAAACCAAAACCGCCUGUUUAUAAGCCUGCUCCCGUUCCAGUUUACAAACCAAAGCCAAAGCCACCCGUUUACAAGCCUGCUCCAGUUCCGGUUUACAAGCCAAAGCCAAAGCCGCCAGUCUACAAACCGGCUCCGGUUCCAGUUUACAAGCCAAAACCAGAGCCACCGGUUUACAAGCCAGCUCCGGUUCCGGUUCCAGUUUACAAACCAAAGCCAAAGCCGCCAGUCUACAAACCUUCCCCUGUUCCAGUUUAUAAGCCAAAGCCUGAGCCACCGGUCUACAAACCUGCCCCUGUUCCAGUUUACAAGCCAAAGCCAGAGCCACCGGUUGUCAAGCCUCCUUGUGACCCAAAACCAAAACCAGAGCCACCUGUCUACAAGCCUGCUCCCGUUCCUAUUUACAAACCUAAGCCAGAGCCGCCAGUCUACAAGCCUUCUCCAGUUCCAGUUUACAAACCGGAGCCAAAACCGCCUGUUUAUAAUCCUUCUCCUGUUCCAGAUUACAAUCCAACACCAAAAUCACCAUUGCCUCCGGUAAUAGACCCACCUUCACCAAAGAAACCUUGCCCACCAUUUUCUCUCCCAAAGCUUCCUCCUUUGCCCACCAUUCCUCCAAAGUAUUUCCAUCAUCACCCCAUCCUAGGAAAUCAUCAUCAUUUGCCCACCAUUCCUCCAAAAUAUUUUCAUCAUCCCAUUCCUUCCCUACCUCCUAAGUACUCUCAUCCUUAAUUAAGACUUUGCAUGCUAUCAACAAACAAAUAAAGACUUCAUGAUUGGAAACAAUUUGAGAAGAUUAUGCAUAGAGAUUGAUAGAUCCGGCAAAGCGAUUAGGAUUUCGUUU